rnacentral:ncRNA from 1 species
UCUUUUCAGGCCUAGUAACCAAUGGUGAAAGCAGUAGAAUAGGAUAGAAGGAGAAUAUGACCUUCCGGAAAGGUAAAUAUAUGCACUGAUGCGUUUGGGCGGACGCUUCUUGCAUGGUGCAGGUUAAAGGUUAUCCUGCAUUUCAUGCCCAGUAACGCUAUGCUGCUAUUAAGAAAACCUGUACUGCAGUACGGUGCAUUUUUUGUUGUAAUGAACAGU